CCCUCAUGACUGGGGGCAGGCGGUCAUGGCGAGCUGGGGGGCCCACGGGAUGGUUGAGCACAGCAGCACCGAGCACCGGACUGCGCCCCACGCUGCCUGGGAGCAAGGUCAGCUCAAGAUCCAGACGGGUGCUUGCCCCCGGCGCAGGCGGAAGGAACCGCUCCAGCUCCAGGCUCUGCUCUGUCCCGCUCCCCGCCUUGAGCUUGGACUCGUGCACACAGAACACCUAUGGGUGCAGGUGUUGGGUCACCGCAGCCCCAGGCUCCGUGCCGCUGCCUUGGGGUGGGAGCUGCGUGCCGAAACCCACCCGGCAGCGUCCGGCGCCGCUUCUGCCGUGAGUGCGAGGUCUAAGCUGGAAAAUCAUUCCCUUUGGAAUAAAAGCAUGAAGCUCGACACGUAGGGUCGCCGAGCAGCUUCUUUUCCGAUGUGUUCUCACUCGUGCGUAACGAGAGACUUCGCCCUAGCAGUGAGAACGCCACGACCCGAGAAGCUGCGCUCCGGCUUCCCCGUUUCCCAAUGGCUCCUACUGCCGGCAGCACAGUGUCAGAACUGAACAGAAGGGAAACGUUCGAACGUUCCAUGUUACGCUGCUGAACGGGGACAUCGGAGUGAGCUCUGCCCACAGAGAUGGAGCUGUGCUGGGAUGGGGCUGUGCUGGGAUGGAGCUCAGUACUGGGACAGGGCUGUACUGGAAUGGUGCUCUGUACUGGGAUAGGGCUGCACUGGGAUGGAGCUCUGUACUGGGAUGGUGCUGUGUUGGGAUGGAGCUCCAUGAUGGGUUGGAACUGGGAUGGAGAGGAGCUUUGUACUGGGCUGGGGCUGCGAUGGGAUGGAGCUCUGUACUGGAAUGGGACUGUGCUGGGAUAGAGCUCUGUACUGGGAUGAUGCUGUGCUGGGACUGAGCUCAGUACUGGGAUAGGGCUGUGCUGGGAUGGAGCUCCAUGAUGGGUCGGAACUGGGAUGGAGAGGAGCUUUGUACUGGGCUGGGGCUGCACUGAGAUGGAGCUCAGUACUGGGAUGAUGCUGUGCUGGGAUGGAGCUCAGUGCUGGGAUGGGGCUGUGAUGGGAUGGAGCUGUGUACUGGAAUGGGGCUGUACUGGAAUGGAGCUCCUUGAUGGGAUGGAACUGGGAUGGAGAGGAGCUCUGUACUGGGGUGGGAUGGAGCUGUACUGGGACAGAGCUCUGCGCUAGGAUGGAGCCAUGCUGGGAUGGGACGGAGCCGUGCUGGGAUGGAGCUGGGAUGGGACGGAGCCGUACUGGGAUGGAGCUGGGAUGAGAUAGAGCCGUACUGGGAUGGGUUGGAGCUGUGCUGGGAUGGAGCUGGGAUGGGAUAGAGCCAUGCUGGGAUGGGAUGGAGCCAUGCUGGGAUGGAGCUGGGAUGGGACGGAGCCGUGCUGGGGCGUAGCUUUGUGCUGGGAGCUUGGUGCUGUGCAUAGAGAUGCAGGAGUGGGGGUGGCGGUGCUGGGUGACUCUGGGCACUGGGGUCACUUGCUGGCCGUGGGGCCACGUUCACGUGUGGGGUGGGGAUUGCCCGAAUGCUUCCACAUCUGCUCCUCCACCCCCAGCUGCGCACGCAGGGACGAUUGGCACGGGUAGAAGGAGAGAAUGCGGGAUUCCUUCAGCUCAGAGCGAUUUCUGCAUCUGGUUCCGGGUGCAGCUUUUGUACCCGCGCCAGGUUUGGGCAGCGUCUGAAAUCCCAACGUGUGUGCGUGCGUGUAUCUGUGCAUAGGUGUGUACGUGUGUGUGUGCAUCCCUACGCGUGUGGCAGUGCCCAUCAUUGCCCGACCUUACCGUGUUUUCAUGGCAGGGUGCAUCUGCUCCAUGCUCCUUUUCUGACCCCGUGGCUUUGCACUUAGGGCACGUACUCCUCGCUCUCCUUGGCCCCUUUUACUUUGACCCGUGGUCUCUGUUUCCCCGGCGCUGUUGGUUCCUAUGGGCUCAGCGUGGGGCACGGCGCUGCCGGUGUGGGGCAGUGGGAGCUGUUGGUGUUCCCAGUGUUGGCACAGACCCUGUGAGAUCCAGGAGCUCCGACCGCAGCCGUCUCGCUGCCAGGACCCAAACCGCUGCCAGGACCCAAACAAACCCCUGCCAGGACCCGAACCGCUGCACAGAGCCCCAGCCGCUCCUCCUGGGCCGCUGGUGGUGGUGGCAAUGUGGCAGUCCCGGUGUUGGCACCGCGGUGGUUCCAGCAUUGUCACCGUGGCAGUCCUGGUAGCGUUACCAUAGCAGUCCCAGUGUUGGCAUCACAGUGAAGGUGUCACCAUGGCAGUCCCAGUGUUGUCACCAUGGAGGUCCCGGUGUUGUCACCGUGGUGGUGAAAGUGUCAGCACCACAAUGGUCCCCAUCCAGGUGUCACCACAUCGGUCCCAUUCUUGUCCAGGUGCCAUCAC